rnacentral:tRNA from 1 species
GCCGCCAUCGCAUAAUGGUAUUGCAACGGCUUGGAGUGCCGUGCCUUUCGAGGCUCCCAGGUUCGAUUCCUGGUGGCGGCG